rnacentral:rRNA from 1 species
UACGUAGGGCGCAAGCGUUGUCCGGAAUUAUUGGGCGUAAAGAGCUCGUAGGCGGUCUGUUACGUCCGCUGUGAAAACCCAGGGCUUAACCCUGGGCUUGCAGUGGAUACGGGUAGACUAGAGGUAUGCAGGGGAGAACGGAAUUCCUGGUGUAGCGGUGUAAUGCGCAGAUAUCAGGAGGAACACCGGUGGCGAAGGCGGUUCUCUGGGCAUUACCUGACGCUGAGGAGCGAAAGCAUGGGGAGCGAACAGG